rnacentral:rRNA from 1 species
UACGUAGGUGGCAAGCGUUGUCCGGAUUUAUUGGGUUUAAAGGGUGCGUAGGCGGCUUUGUAAGUCAGUGGUGAAAUAUGGCAGCUUAACUGUCAAGGUGCCAUUGAUACUGCGGAGCUUGAGUACAGAUGAGGUAGGCGGAAUUGACGGUGUAGCGGUGAAAUGCUUAGAUAUCGUCAAGAACACCGAUAGCGAAGGCAGCUUACUGGGCUGUAACUGACGCUGAGGCACGAAAGUGUGGGGAUCAAACAGG